rnacentral:rRNA from 1 species
AUUGAACGCUGGCGGCAGGCCUAACACAUGCAAGUCGGACGGUAGCACAGAGGAGCUUGCUCUUCGGGUGACGAGUGGCGGACGGGUGAGUAAUGUCUGGGAAACUGCCCGAUGGAGGGGGAUAACUACUGGAAACGGUAGCUAAUACCGCAUAACGUCGCAAGACCAAAGUGGGGGACCUUCGGGCCUCACACCAUCGGAUGUGCCCAGAUGGGAUUAGCUGGUAGGCGGGGUAACGGCCCACCUAGGCGACGAUCCCUAGCUGGUCUGAGAGGAUGACCGGCCAGACUGGAACUGAGACACGGUGCAGACUCCUACGGGAGGCAGCAGUGGGGAAUAUUGCACAAUGGGCGCAAGCCUGAUGCAGCCAUGCCGCGUGUAUGAAGAAGGCCUUCGGGUUGUAAAGUACUUUCAGCGGGGAGGAAGGUGCUGAGGUUAAUAAGCUCAGCAAUUGACGUUACCCGCAAAAGAAGCACCGGCUAACUCCGUGCCAGCAGCCGCGGUAA